UUAUUCCUACGGGAGGCAGCAGUGGGGGAUAUUGCACAAUGGGGGAAACCCUGAUGCAGCGACGCCGCGUGAGCGAUGAAGUAUUUCGGUAUGUAAAGCUCUAUCAGCAGGGAAGAAAAUGACGGUACCUGACUAAGAAGCCCCGGCUAACUACGUGCCAGCAGCCGCGGGAAUACGUAGGGGGCAAGCGUUAUCCGGAUUUACUGGGUGUAAAGGGAGCGUAGACGGCCAGACAAGUCUGAAGUGAAAAUCCAGCGCUUAACGUUGGAAGUGCUUUGGAAACUGCCGGGCUGGAGUGCAGGAGG
rnacentral:rRNA from 1 species